rnacentral:rRNA from 1 species
ACGCUGGCGGCGUGCCUAAUACAUGCAAGUAGAACGCUGAAGGAGGAGCUUGCUUCUCUGGAUGAGUUGCGAACGGGUGAGUAACGCGUAGGUAACCUGCCUGGUAGCGGGGGAUAACUAUUGGAAACGAUAGCUAAUACCGCAUAACAGUAGAUGUUGCAUGACAUUUGCUUAAAAGGUGCAAUUGCAUCACUACCAGAUGGACCUGCGUUGUAUUAGCUAGUUGGUGGGGUAACGGCUCACCAAGGCGACGAUACAUAGCCGACCUGAGAGGGUGAUCGGCCACACUGGGACUGAGACACGGCCCAGACUCCUACGGGAGGCAGCAGUAGGGAAUCUUCGGCAAUGGACGGAAGUCUGACCGAGCAACGCCGCGUGAGUGAAGAAGGUUUUCGGAUCGUAAAGCUCUGUUGUAAGAGAAGAACAGGUGUGAGAGUGGAAAGUUCACACUGUGAAGGUAUCUUACCAGAAAGGGAUGGCUAACUACGUGCCAGCAGCCGCGGUAAUACGUAGGUCCCGAGCGUUGUCCGGAUUUAUUGGGCGUAAAGCGAGCGCAGGCGGUUAGAUAAGUCUGAAGUUAAAGGCUGUGGCUUAACCAUAGUACGCUUUGGAAACUGUUUAACUUGAGUGCAAGAGGGGAGAGUGGAAUUCCAUGUGUAGCGGUGAAAUGCGUAGAUAUAUGGAGGAACACCGGUGGCGAAAGCGGCUCUCUGGCUUGUAACUGACGCUGAGGCUCGAAAGCGUGGGGAGCAAACAGGAUUAGAUACCCCUGGUAGUCCACGCCGUAAACGAUGAGUGCUAGGUGUUAGACCCUUUCCGGGGUUUAGUGCCGCAGCUAACGCAUUAAGCACUCCGCCUGGGGAGUACGACCGCAAGGUUGAAACUCAAAGGAAUUGACGG